UAUAAAGGUAAGCUAAAUAAGCUAAAGGGUUCAUACCCCUUCUAUAAGAGUCAAAUCUCUUCCUUUUUAAUGUUCUUUAAAAAUUAUCAAUUAACAUUUAUAACCACUACAUUUUUAGGCACUUUAAUGGCAGUAUCGUCUAACUCAUGAAUUCUUUGUUGAAUCGGCCUAGAAAUUAACCUAAUAAGAUUUAUCCCUUUAAUUUUAAGAGACCUUAAUUUUAAAUCUACAGAGACAGCAAUCAAAUAUUUUUUAACCCAGGCGGUCGCUUCUGUCAUUUUAAUUACAGCUGCAUCCUUUACAGCCCUUCAAAUAAAAAAUUAUUACUUAGAAAGAAUAAACUUUUUUUUAUUUUUAGCCCUGUCUAUCAAAGCAGGCCUGGCCCCCUUUCACAUCUGAUUUCCUCAAGUUACUGAAUUCAUCUCUUGAUUUAAAUGUUUUAUCAUCUUCACCUGACAAAAAAUUGCCCCAUUCAUAUUAAUUAUUAAUUUUAAUAUCAGUGUGUUUACUUAUUUUAUUAUUAUUAUAUCAGCAACUGCUGGCGCAGUUGGAGGGCUAAACCAAAUAAGUAGAAAAAUUCUAUUAACCUAUUCUUCGAUUUCACACUCAGCAUGAAUACUCAUACUAGCCUCUUUGUCUUUAAAAUUUUGAACUUUUUAUUUUUUAAUUUAUUUUUUUGUUUUAUCACCAAUCAUUUUCGCUAUAAAUUUUUUAAAUUUUAAAAAAAUUAAAGAAAUUAAUUCCUCUAAGAUUAAUCUUAAAACGAAAUUAAUACUAAGAACUCUAAUUAUAUCACUUGGGGGGCUCCCCCCGUUCUUAGGGUUUUUAAGAAAAUUAAUCGCCUUAACAGUAGCUGUAAAAACUUUCCCCAUAGUAAUUAUAAUUACAUUGGUUGCGUCUUCUUUAGUUUCACUUUAUUUUUACACUAAAAUAUUUUUUAAUUCUUUAACAGCUAGCCUCCCUGAAAAAAAAAUCUCAUCGAGUGAGAAAAAAAUCAAUAAAUUCAUCAUUUUCUCCCUAGCCGGAAAUUUAAUUUUAUCAAAUUUAGUUUUAUUAAUUUAAAGUUUUAAGUUAAUAAAACUAAAAGCCUUCAAAGCUUUAAUUAAGAUGGGAGCCUUAAACUUUAAGUUAAGAGCUUAACGCCACUUUAAGAUUUGCAAUCCUAACUCAUAAUUGAAUACAUAACAUUAUAAUAAAAGAGUACACCACUCGUAAUUAAAUUUACAGUUUAACACCUAAACUCAGCCAUUUUAUUUAUGAAACGUUGACUUUUUUCAACCAACCACAAAGAUAUCGGAACUAUGUAUUUAAUUUUUGGAGUUUGAUCUGCUAUGGUCGGCACUGCAUUUAGAGUUUUAAUCCGCCUGGAAUUAGGUCAACCAGGUUCUUUUAUUGGAGACGACCAAAUUUAUAAUGUAAUAGUAACAGCCCAUGCUUUUAUUAUAAUUUUCUUCAUAGUUAUGCCUAUUAUAAUUGGGGGGUUUGGAAAUUGACUAGUUCCACUAAUAAUCGGCGCCCCAGAUAUGGCGUUCCCUCGAAUAAAUAAUAUAAGUUUUUGACUUCUUCCACCUUCAUUAAUCUUACUUUUAUCCGGAGGACUGGUGGAAAGAGGAGCAGGCACAGGCUGAACUGUAUACCCCCCUUUAUCAAGAGGCAUCGCCCACGCUGGAGCUUCUGUAGAUUUAUCAAUUUUCAGACUUCACCUUGCUGGGGCAAGUUCAAUCUUGGGGGCAGUAAAUUUUAUUACAACUAUCAUCAACAUACGAGUUGAGGGUAUGACUUGGGAUCGAACUCCUUUAUUUGUUUGAUCAGUUUUUUUAACCGCUAUCCUUCUCCUGCUUUCCCUUCCAGUUCUUGCUGGAGCCAUUACAAUACUUUUAACAGAUCGUAACCUAAAUACUUCAUUUUUCGACCCUGCCGGGGGCGGCGACCCUAUCUUGUACCAACACUUGUUUUGAUUUUUUGGUCACCCAGAAGUUUAUAUUUUAAUUCUUCCUGGGUUUGGCAUAAUUUCACAUAUUAUUACAUUUGAAAGAGGUAAAAAACAAACUUUCGGUCAACUAGGUAUAAUUUACGCGAUAAUAGCAAUCGGUCUUCUAGGAUUUAUCGUUUGAGCACAUCAUAUAUUUACUGUGGGAAUAGAUGUAGACACUCGUGCUUACUUUACAGCCGCCACUAUAAUUAUUGCCAUCCCCACAGGAGUGAAAAUUUUUAGCUGAGUAGCGACACUUCAAGGAAGAGCUUUAAUUAUCACCCCAACUUUAAUAUGAGCCAUAGGCUUUGUAUUUUUAUUUACUGUGGGGGGUCUCACAGGAAUUAUUUUAGCUAACUCUUCACUUGACAUCGUACUUCACGACACUUACUAUGUAGUCGCCCACUUUCACUAUGUUUUAUCUAUGGGGGCUGUGUUUGCAAUUAUAGGAGGCUUAAUUCACUGGUUUCCUUUAUUUACAGGAGUAAAUUUAAAUCCUAAGUGACUAAAAAUUCAAUUUUAUACUAUGUUCAUUGGGGUUAAUAUAACAUUUUUCCCCCAACACUUUUUAGGACUAAACGGCAUGCCUCGACGUUACUCAGACUACCCCGAUGCAUUUACUACUUGAAACGUAUUAUCUUCGUUAGGAAGCUAUACCUCAGUAGCUGCCGUUAUUCUAUUCAGCUUUAUUAUUUGGGAAUCUAUUUCGACUGCCCGUCCUAGAGUCCAUAACUUUAUUUACUCUUCAUCAAUUGAAUGACUUCAAAAUAUACCCCCAUCCGAACACUCAUACUCGGAGCUAUCCUUAGUCACACAUUUUUAAUGUGGCAGAUUAGUGCAGUGAACUUAAAAUUCAAAAAUGAAUAAUUUAUUCUUUUAAAAAUUGCAACUUGAGCGGCUUUAGGGUUCCAAAACGCUUCUUCACCUUUAAUAGAACAACUAAUCUUUUUCCAUGACCACACCCUAACAAUUUUGAUUUUAAUUAUUUCUAUUGUAGGAUUUAAUUUAUUCUCAACUAUACACAACACAAAUAUUGACCAACAUAUAAUAGAAUCCCAAGGUUUAGAAUUAUUUUGAACUAUUAUCCCAAGUUUUAUUUUAAUUUUUAUCGGCCUUCCUUCUAUUCGCUUAUUAUAUUUAUUAGAUGAGGUCUAUAACCCGGCAAUCACCAUUAAAACUAUCGGACAUCAAUGAUAUUGAUCUUACGAAUAUUCAGAUUUUAUUAACUUAGAAUUUGACUCAUACAUAAUCCCGUCAAAUGAAAUAGAAAUAAAUAUAUUUCGUUUAAUUGACGUUGAUAACCGAAUAAUAGCCCCUCUGAACUCCCAAGUCCGCACUUUAAUUACAGCUGCUGAUGUUUUACACUCAUGAACAGUCCCAAGAAUGGGAAUUAAAGCUGACGCUGUGCCAGGACGUCUAAACCAAGUUAAUUUUUAUACAAACCGCCCUGGACUAUUUUUCGGGCAAUGCUCAGAAAUUUGCGGAGCAAAUCAUAGAUUUAUGCCCAUCGUAAUUGAAACAAUUCCAGGAAAAAACUUCAUUAAAUGAGUAAAAAAUAUAUCUAAAUAAACUAUU